rnacentral:lncRNA from 1 species
CGGGAAGAGAAGUAGCUGGCGCCUUAGAGCUCUGCUAGAUAUAACAUCUCAACUAUCAGGAGAAGCAGCGUGCUGUGUGCUAUGAGGACCUAAAGCACUUGUUCAGAGCCAAUUUCUUUGAGGAAUUUGCAACUACCCUGAGAUCUGGAGAAGGACAAGAUUGUAACAGGCAACAGAGAAGAAAGACUACAAAGACCCAAGUCAAGGUCAUGGGCAUUAUGGAUGAAACCAAAGCCUGAAGAAAGGCACUUCUGCUGUCCACCCUGAGAAGAUGCCCCAGAAGGACCUGAACAACAGCUGCUGCAGCUGUCUUUGGCCUUUCAGCCUCCAAAAAGGGAACUGGAAGUCCCACCUACUCCUUCCUCCCAGCAAUUGGUCCAUGGCUUCUUUACUGACAGAUCAAGAACCAACUGGGGAACAGGACCAUAACAUCAGCAUCGCCCCUACAGUUGACAGACUGAAAAAGUCAGGACAGUGAUACAAUCAUCCUGGUGGAGAACCAGGGACCUUUAAGCCAUUUAGAAAUGCAGAAAGAUAAGCUGAGAUGGGAAGUUAUCUGGGGCCGCACUUGAGUCCAAAAUCCCCAACACUUCAGCUCUGCUGUCUAGAUUUGUCCAUUGUAAUGUACUUAAGAAAUGGGGGGCGUGGGGAGGGAGGAUGGGGCAGGCCACAAUGCCAGUGUGCACUUGCUUGCCUAACGGUAAAAACAUGGAGAUGAUUUAUGCAUGAGAUUCCAGCACGACAGAAACUUCCCGUGUGUUUGCUGUACGUCUCUCCAUCUCAUGUGUGCUCAAGGAACGGGUCUGUCAUCCAGCUCCCGAUCAUGAAAGCAGAUUCCUGCUGCACAUAGGGAAAGUGUUUCUGUAGAAACAAAAUACACUCCACUUUUCAUGCAUCAAAUAUUUAUGGAGGGUUGUCAGGGGGCACCUGCCUGUAACCGCAGCACUUGGUGGGCUGGGAAGAUGAGAAUUUAAAAGUCACUCUAUACUACAAAGCAAUUUGAGGUGAGCCUGGGCUACAUCACACCUAUCUUAAAAAGGAAAAGCAAAUACACACAUGCACAAAGACAUACAUACAUACAUACAUACAUACAUAUAUAUAUACACAGACACACACACUAUAUAUAUAUUACAAAGCAAUUUGAGGCCAACCUGGGCUGCAUCUUACCUGCUGAGCCAUCUCACCAGCCCUCAGGAUGAUAUUUUCUAGUUCCAUUCAUUUGCCUGCAAAGCUCAUUCAGUCCUUGCUUUUAAUAGUUAAAUAGUAUUCCAUCAUGUAAAUGAAACACAUUUUCUGUAAUCAUUCUUUGGUAUAGAGACAUCUGGGUUGUUUCCAGCUUCUGCAUAUUAUGAAUAAAGCUGCUAUGAAGGUAAUGGAGCAUGUGUCCUUUUGGUAUAGGCAAGCAUCUUUUGGGUAUAUGUCCAGGAGUGGUAUAGCUGGGUCUUUAGGUAGAUUGAUUCCCAAUUUUCUGAAGAACUGCCAGGAUGAUAUAAAAACUGCCCUAUCAUAAAAAACAAACACACAUACACACAAACAUGCACAUAGACACAGAGACAGAUACAUACAGACAUACAUGCAUACAUAUAUACAUACAUAGACACACAUACACAUAUUAUAUGUACACAUACACACACACACACAUAUAUGGAGAGAGAGAAUGAGAGAGACAGAGACAGAGAGACAGAGACAGAGAAUUACCAUAAGUAGGGCAGUGAUCUAAGGAAAGGCUGAAGCGAUGCGGGGAUAUUGGACAAUUGUAGGAUAUAGUGGAAGGUGCUGUAAGGGUUGUGAGGGGCAAGCAUGGAUAGCCACGAGGAUGGUUUUUAAGGUUCAGCAGAGAAAGACACAGUAGGGGAGAGAUAGGAAAGUCAGAAGAUGGUAAGUGGGUGUAUGGAUGGGUAAGGAGAUGGGAAGGUGGGUCAGAAGAAGGAAGAAAGAACAGGCAAGCUGCAGAGAGGCUAGGAGGAAUGGGGAGGGGAAAGGGUUUGUUAUGGAGUCUGGUUGUAUGCAGCUUGGUGUGGCUGGUUAAACAACCUCUGCGAGGCUGAGUCUGACCCUUGAGGCCCACAGGGGUGGGAAAGUUGCCAGAGAGCGCGGCCGGAAGUAAAGCAUCAGCCAGGAUCCACACCAUCAAUGGUGCCCUGAUGCUGGGCUGAUGUCUUACUGCUCUGAUCCUUGCUGCAAGUACUGAGGAUAAACCAGGUUCCUCUGUCAGAAACUAAAGCCCUCACGUAUCUGGCCUUGGAGAAGCUGAAAAACAACUCCAGAGAACGGAGAGACCGUGCGGUCAACCCCAGACUGCCCAGGCGCCCUACAGCGCCUCACCACCAAGCCAGAAGUUCUGAGUAACUUAUAGAUCCUGAAACCCUACAGAGAAGAGGUCCCGCUCAGCAGAG